rnacentral:tRNA from 1 species
CGGGCUGUGGCGUAGCCUGGUAGCGCGCUUGGUUCGGGACCAAGAGGUCCAGGGUUCAAAUCCCUGCAGCCCGA